rnacentral:rRNA from 1 species
GAUGAACGCUGGCGGCGUGCCUAGUACAUGCAAGUCGAGCGAACAGAUAAGGAGCUUGUUCCUUUGACGUUAGCGGCGGACGGGGGAGUAACACGUGGGUAACCUACCUAUAAGACUGGAAUAACUCCGGGAAACCGGGGCUAAUACCGGAUCACAUUUAGAACCGCAUGGUUCUAAAGUGAAAGAUGGUUUUGCUAUCACUUAUAGAUGGACCCGCGCCGUAUUAGCUAGUUGGUAAGGUAACGGCUUACCAAGGCAACGAUACGUAGCCGACCUGAGAGGGUGACCGGGCACACUGGAACUGAGAGACGGUCCAGACUCCUACGGGAGGCAGCAGUAGGGAAUCUUCCGAAAUGGGCGAAAGCCUGACGGAGCAACGGCGCGUGAGUGAUGGAGGUCUUCGGGUCGUAAAACUCUGUGAUUAGGGAAGAACAGAUGUGUAAGUAACUGUGCACGUCUUGACGGUACCUAAUCAGAAAGCCACGGCUAACUACGUG